GGGGCUACCGCCAUGCAAUGGGACAAUGAGCACGUAGAUCUGUCCAGAGUAGGCUGCAAUAACUGUGAUGGCCACAGCUUGGCUGGAUUAACAGCAAAAAUAGAAAUACAGGUGUUGGUCUUGGGCAGGAAUACAUUUAUUAACUUAAGCUACAAUCCCAUCUUGAUUAGUCAUACUUGGCUACAGUUCCCUCUGUACUAGGUAUAGUCAUUUUUGCUGCCACAAUGACUGCCGUGCACAGCUGCCUUUGUCCUUUGGCAGCUCACCUGGAUUGAAGUGCAGCUGCAUGCAUUUUAGCGUGGGCUUGGAGGACUGAAUGUAUUCUGUUAAUUCGGUGCCAACUGCCUGCUUACAAGUACUUUGUUUUCAGGCUCACUUCAAGGCGCUCCUGUUAUCUUGCACGGCUUUGGACCAGAUUUUCCAAAAGAUCCUCCCCAAUUAAGGUCGACUGCAAGGGUGAGCAAGAUAUCAUCUGUUUACCUGUAACAUAUUGAAGUACACAAACGCUGCUCCGCUCCAUUACACAUCAUGAGAAAAUACUCUAAAGCACUCCACCACGGCUGCCCGGCUUCGUGCAGCCUGGCCUGCGAGCCUCAGGGGCGGAGUUCAUCCAAGACUGAGUUCAUCCCAGGGCACCUCACAUGGCACCAAUGUUGGUAGGGAGGACUAACAUUGGAAGCGCAUGCAGAGAAACCAAAGUACCACCAAACCCAGCGUGCAGAAAAGUUGCGAUGUGCUAGGAGAUACUGCUUGAUUUUAAAAAAUUAGACUUGAAUAUUUCCUGAACCAGAGAAGAUUACCCCAAGUCAUUGAUGAAA